CGAUCAACUGUCUUUUAUAUUUAUAAUUUAAGUGUCGUGGUAUCAAAUGCAUAAUAAAUUCAUGACGUCGUAAACAUUACUGGUCACAGUAAAUUCAACCGUAAAAUCAACCAUACGAUUUUCAUAUACUUUUCCAUUAUAUAACGAAUGAAAUGGAUCUACGAUCAAUACGGAUAAUCAUGUGUACACAGAAUGAGAAGAAAUUGAUUAAUGAGAAAGAAAAAGACACGAUAGGUGUAAAACACAGGUAACUUGUUACAUAAUGCAACGAACCAAAUUCUGAGAUCAUCUUAUCAUCUUCUCUUAGAUAGAAACAAAAUGGAAAAGGAUCUUGAUCAAUAACGUCUGACUUUCAGAAAGGCCGGACGAUGCAUCUUCACGUUUUGCUCCUUGCUAUCUUGGAUCUUUUUUGCCUGUGACCUUGAAGAUGCACCGCCUCAUUAACUUUCACCGUGGUAAUCGAAGACACCAACGAGAACAGGAUGGUAGUCAAUGUCACCAACAAUGCAGUUUCUAUUAUAUUACAGUUCGGUGUAUUCUUGAACAAAAAGGAAGAAUGUUUUAAAAGAUGUUAGCGACAAUGAAAGUUGAAAAUAAUUUACAAAGAGAAAGAGAAACAGCGAAUUUUAAAUGAAAAGAUCAUCUUUGUUAAUCGAGCAGAGCAGAGAAGAUUCGUAAAAGGAGAAUAUCCUGGAAUGCAGAGCAUCCUUGAUUCACGAUUAACUGCAGACAUCUGACGAAACUGCAACGAUGCAUUGACUUGCAAAACAGCAUUUGACACGGAUGUCGCAACAUUGUAUGCGCGGAUGAGAAGAUUGAACAAUUACUAGAUCGAUCUUGAACGAUCCUCAAGAGAUCAACCGAAUUACAAGAGGAUACAUCUGUUCUUUCUUAUCGUUACCUAGCGAUUCCACAGUUGAACUAUUUGAGUAGAAUUUAUCCUUUUUUGGGAAAACGUUUUUCAUAGGUUCUUCUCUGGAAGAGGGAAUAUUAUUAUGUUAUAUCAUUUGUCCUUUAUUCGUAUCGUUGGCCUCGAGAAAAUAGGUCAAAACUUGUCACAAAUUAUUAUUCAUCAGGUUUCUAUAUGAAGAGAGAUGAAGCAAAAAUUGAUCCUGCGAGCAAGGACAAAGAAAUAAUUACCUCGAAAUAGUUACGCUGAAUGUCAAUCUCUGAUAAAGGUGUCUACAAAAGAUCUAGGAUAAUCUGAAAUUUAUAAAAGGAAGAGAGGACCAGAAUAGACGAUACUAAUUUCUUUGGAUAAAAGUAACACGAGGUCAACGAUCGUCAUUUAAUGAUUGUCCUAUUUGACGCGUCACAUCUUCGACCUUGAUGCUCGAAAGGUAAGAAAAGAUUUCUACUAAUUCAUUUACGAGGACUUGUAAUUUGGCGGAACUCAUUAAAUAUAGUUGAUUCACGCGCGAAAAAUUCCCCUAAUUAUUAUUACUUGAAUAUAGCGAAAAGGACAAGCAUCUAUCUAAAUUUAACUUGCUUCAAAUGCGAGCUGCGAAUAAGUGUUUAAUCUCCUCAAUUAAUUUUAAUUUAUUUAAAAUUGAUCUUAAUCAUUUUAAUAAUCA